GUGGAGACCAAGCGUGAAGCCCAAGGAUCGGGAUGACGUGAAGAGUUGCCCACAUUUACCUGGAAGCAGUGGGGCUCAUCCAGGAGGCUGGGGUGCAAUGGCCAAACCCGCACAUUCCGCUGGGCACCCAGCCGUUUGAGCAACCCCUACGGAGAGAGGGGUGUCAGCUGAGCAGAACCCUGUGCUCCCACUUCAGCUCCUUCUCCCUCAGGGUGUCCUGGAGGAUCUGCUAUUCUUGGAGGACCACAGACUCAGGCUGUAUUAGCGUGAAUAAUAAAGGCCACCACUAGCUCCCAUUUUAAAAGCA